GAUGAACGCUAGCUACGGGCUUAACACAUGCAAGUCGAGGGACCGGCGCACGGGUGAGUAACACGUAUCCAACCUGCACUUUACUCAGGGCUAGCCUUUCGAAAGAAAGAUACAUACCCGAUAUAAAGGAUGGGGAUGCGUUACUUUAGGUUGUUGGUGAGGUAACGGCUCACCAAGCCUUCGAUGGAUAGGGGUGGGGGGGGGAAGGUCCCCGAGAUUGGAACUGAGACACGGUCUAAACUCCUACGGGAGGGAGGGGUGAGUAACAUUGGUCAAUGGGCGGUAGCCUGACACCGCCAAGUAGCGUGAAGGAUGAAGGCUUAUGGGUAGUAAAUUUCUUUUAUAUAAGAAUAUGUAUUAUAUGAAUAAGGAUCGGCUAACUCCGUGCCAGCCGCCGCGGUAAUUC
rnacentral:rRNA from 1 species